rnacentral:lncRNA from 13 species
CUCCUGUUGAAGACCCAAAGGGGUGCACAAGUCAAAAGCUUCAGGAGGAGAUGUCACCUGACUUAGAAAACGCUACAAGUGAAUAUCACCACACUCCUGUUGACAACCCAGAGGAGUAUACACGUGGCAGUGAGGAGGAGGAGGUGGCCUCUGACACGGAGAAGCCUGCGGCCCAGUAUCACCACCGUCCUGUUGAGGUCCUACAGGACCUCAUCAUAGAAGACAUUGAAGACGAUGAGAUUCCCCGUGAUGUGGAGAAGCCUGCGGCCCAGUAUCACCACCGUCCUGUUGAGGUCCUACAGGACCUCAUCAUAGAAGACAUUGAAGACGAUGAGAUUCCCCGUGAUGUGGACCCCGUGACAGCCCCAAAAGACAUCUGUAGUGCCGGUGUUCCAUCUGAAGUGUGACUCUGCUGAAUCAUCAUCCAUGGCUGGGACAUGAGGGACAUCAUCCACAGAUGGGCAUCAUCCACAGCUGGGGCAUCAUCCACGCCUGGGGCAUCAUCCACUGCUGGGGCAUCAUCCACAGAUGGGCAUCAUCCACUGCUGGGGCAUCAUCCACGCCUCUGGUAGCUCUGCAGGAAGGUUGCCCACCUCACACUUGCUUUCUCCAGGUUCCAGAGGCUCUCAUUUAAAGGAGCAUCUCUCCCCACUCUGCCUCACCCAACGCCAGCUCUCCUGUACCUACUGCUAAAUGCUUUCUUCCACCUUCACCUCAUUGGAUUCAUGACUCUGGAAAAUAGUCAAAAAUUAUAAAAAGGUGGGAGUGGGGGUGAUCUGGAAAUCCCUGCUAUAAUAUUUUUAAAGGAAUCUACUGGAAACUUUAUGUUUUAAAUAAAGCCAUCCCUUACUUGGCA